rnacentral:lncRNA from 1 species
GGUUAAGGGCUUGUAACUAAGCCUUUCAUGGUAAGGAACAUCAGAUCAUGUUGUGAUGUCAUGACGUGGGCCAAAAGUUCCAUCCCACCUGAACAGGCAGAAAUUCCCGGGAUUUAUUUCAAACAGCUUUUACACAAAAAGGGCAUUAUCCUAAUUUUCACAAUUUACGAGUGUUAUUUUGACCUUCUAGUGUGUAAAUAUUAUUUACAAAAUGAAGGAAAUACAUAUUUUUAACUGCACUGAUCCUUUUUUUUUUUUACCAAGUUACACUUCUCAAAAGGCACCGAAUUGGUGGAAUGACCCAACUGCUAUUUCAGCAGCAGUGCCAACAUUUGCUUUCUAAACAAAUCUUUUUGGGGUGGGAGUGAUGAGCAAUGAAAAUGCUUAUUGGAUUUUGGAUACAUGUCCACAGCUGCUACGACACAGCACAGCACAGCAGCUGCAAGAGGCAGCAGCUCAACCUUUUUUCCUGACUUGACUUUUGGCUGGUUUGGGUCAGAAUGGCUAACUACUGGUCUGUUCAGGUUUUCUGUGGGCUUUUGUCUACCAUGCUCUUGGCCAUGGGGGCACUGGAUGGUGGGAUGGAAUGUACAGACAAGGACAGAUUACUGACAGAGAUAUCCAAAGAUCUGGACCCACCGUCGGAGUGUGUGCUAGGCUGCACUGGACUGACUUACAGAGCUAUGCUGGAGACCCAAAAUAUACAGACUGUACGCUUCAAAGACUCUACAGCAGGUGAGCAUGGAGAAUACUGCUGGUCCAUGAGAACGAAGUGUAGCCCUGGAGAGAGCCUGAUUCAUGCCUACAUCGUGUUACCUGUGGAUGUGUCACUGGUUAACGAGGAUACCCUUGGAUUGAAAGCUACUCUCCCCCACCAUAACAACAUACUAACGCCUCACAACGGUCCCACGCCACUCUCCAAACUCUGUGGCCUCCGCUUUGACAUCACAGACCAGUUCACCAUGACAAAGAGAUCGCCAAUGUUCUGCGUGCAGGUUGUCCCACAGCAGAGCACCUUGGAAAACAAAAUGCCUAUUAGAUGCCCACCUUUCCUGGUGACGAUGUGGCAGAGGCUGAAUAAGUAACCUACAAAGCAACGGAGGGGGAUGAAAUGGACUUGUUAAACCGACGACCAUCCAAAAUGUUUAAUGGCAUCAAGAUUAUUUUGUCCGAAUUGUUAGGUAACCCUUCUCCUAUUGUAAAUGCAUCUGGAUCUGAUAGUCUUGCUUAUUUCACAGCUAUCUAUCUCGUCAGCAUCAUAUUGUAUAUAACACAGUGUUUCCUUCAUAUUUUGAUUUAGCAGCGGUGCCCCGCCACUCCCCCCCCCCCAAAAAAAUAUAGAGUGACAAGUUACGACGUAUAUUUGGUCUUUAGAUUCCUGCUACCAUUGUCACUGCUGCUGAAAGAAAUCUUUAGGGGGGCGACACUGUAACAGUCACAGUAGCUUAUAUCAUGUUUAUGGAAAAGAAAAAAGGAUGUCCGAUUCAAAUGGAAAGUCAGUUAAAACAACGGAUUGUCCGAUGAAAUACCCAGAACUUUUUGACACAAGACUGUUGACUAAAUGGAGUACAAUUAACGAUGACUUGAAAUGGACUCAGUUUGGCAGCGAAUCUUUAACUCUGAGAUGUUAAGGAUGACGUUGAGAAGGAAUGAGCAGAACCCGAGGUAAAUGUAUGGAAGGUGAAAAUUAACCGUUGUAUUUGAUAGAUAGAUAGAUAGAUAGAUAGAUAGAUAGAUAGAUAGAUAGAUAGAUAGAUAGAUAGAUAGAUAGAUAGAUAGAUAGAUAGAUAGAUAGAUAGAUAGAUAGAUAGAUAGAUAGAUAGAUAGAUAGAUAGAUAGAUAGAUAGAUAGAUAGAUAGAUAGAUAGAUAGAUAGAUAGAUAGAUAGAUAGAUAGAUAGAUAGAUAGAUAGAUAGAUAGAUCAUUGUUAAUAUACUGUAUGGAUGUGUGCUUUUGGGUCAAUAGUUGAUUCUAGAUUGAGAUGACAUUUCAAAUAAUAAUAAGGCCUUUGUGUUAAUUUGUGCUCUAUUGUGUGGAGCAAACAUUUGAUGGUACAUAUGUAUAUAGAAUGUAUAAGCUUCUUAUAUGAAAUAUACAUAGUUACUAAUUUAAGUGUGUGAACACCAGAAACUGUCCUAAAGCACAUUUAUUUUACUUAACUUUUAUUAUAUUUACUUUAACUUUUAUUUUAUUUACUUUAAUUUGCUAUAACACCACACUAAUUGGUUUGAUGUAAACUGUGAGCUUUACUAGAAUGCUUUUCCAACCAUGUCAAGUAUCCACAACAUUAAAACAACUUCACGUGAUUGUGUAUGUCUGUGAGCUUGCACAAAAAGAAGGCCAUAGUUUGAUCUUACCAUAACAAAUCAUUAAAAAUUGAGAGAAUAGGAACUGUUUCAGACCUGGAUUUUUUUUUACACUUUAUAUAGAAGCAAGAAAGAGGAAAAUGGUGGACAGUUUGCAACAACAGUGGGCGUUACCUCACCACAGCGAGCUGUAGAGAGCAUUAUAUUGACUAUAGCUCCCUCUGCUGGCAGAAACACAGUAUCAUGCACAUGCCUACAUUGCCCUAUUUUACUCAGCGUGGCACAAAGCACAUUAUGGUCCCCACCAGAGCUGAAAUUAAAAUUCUAACUUGAAAAAAAUAUAUGUUCAAUGACUUCUCAAUAGGAGAAGAAGCUAUUUAUUUGAAAUGUUUUUUAUUUUUUUUAAAUGUUAAAUAAAAUCCCUUCCUGAA